rnacentral:rRNA from 1 species
CCUACGGGAGGCAGCAGUGGGGAAUAUUGCACAAUGGGGGGAACCCUGAUGCAGCGACGCCGCGUGAGUGAAGAAGUAUUUCGGUAUGUAAAGCUCUAUCAGCAGGGAAGAAAAUGACGGUACCUGACUCAGAAGCCCCGGCUAACUACGUGCCAGCAGCCGCGGUAAUACGUAGGGGGCAAGCGUUAUCCGGAUUUACUGGGUGUAAAGGGGGCGUAGACGGUUAUGCAAGUCUGAAGUGAAAGCCCAAGGCUCAACCAUGGGACUGCUUUGGAAACUGUAAAACUGGAGUGCAGGAGAGGUAAGCGGAAUGCGUAGUGUAGCGGUGAAAUGCAUAGAUAUUAGGAAGAACACCAGUGGCGAAGGCAGCUUACUGGACUGUAACUGACGUUGAGGCUCGAAGGCGUGGGGAGCGAACAGGAUUAGAUACCCGAGUAGUC